rnacentral:rRNA from 1 species
UGGGGAAUCUUGCGCAAUGGACGAAAGUCUGACGCAGCAAUACCGCGUGGGUGAAGAAGGUCUUCGGAUCGUAAAACCCUUUUACAGGGGAAGAUAAUGACGGUACCCUGUGAAUAAGCACCGGCUAACUCCGUGCCAGCAGCCGCGGUAAUACGGAGGGUGCAAGCGUUGUUCGGAAUUACUGGGCGUAAAGAGCGUGUAGGCGGCUUAGUAAGCGUAGGGUGAAAUCCCGGGGCUCAACCCCGGAACUGCUCUUCGAACUGCUGGGCUUGAGAUAGUUAGGGGCAGAUGGAAUUCCUGGUGUAGAGGUGAUAUUCACAGAUAUCAGGAGGAACACCCGUGGCGAAAGCGGUCUGCUGGAACUUUUCUGACGCUAAAGCGCGAAAGCGUAGGUAGCAAA